ACCCGAACUAUCAAGACGAUUCGGACCCUGCUGAACCCAGCCCUUUCUUUUCUAUUGUCGAUUUCUCUCUCUAACCAUUCAUUCCUUCACUUCAUUUUCCAAUAUCCUCGAUUCCAAAAAUAUCCGAAGCUAGUAUUUUUCUUAGAAUACUGCUGCUCGAUUCUCCGUCCUUUUUCGUAAUUCUUGUUUCUCCAAAAUCGUUUUCGUUUUGUCUGUGAAAUGUAUAACGGAAUAGGAUUACAGACCCCAAGAGGGUCAGGGACAAAUGGGUACAUACAAACAAACAAGUUUUUUGUCAAGCCAAGGACUGGUAAAGUUGCUCAUAACAUUAAAGGGUUUGAGGGUGAUCAAGGCACUGCUGGAAUCACUAGGAAACCUAAUAAGGAAAUCCUUGAGCAUGAUCGCAAGCGCCAAAUUGAACUUAAGCUUGUUGUACUUGAAGAUAAGUUAAUUGAGCAAGGUUAUACUGAUGCUGAGGUAAAAGAAAAAGUCGAUGAAGCUAGAAAAACUUUGGAAGCUGCUGCUUCUUCUGAGGAAGGUGGUGGACCUGCUGCUCUUGUGGUUACGGAGUCAAAGUUUUCCGAUACACAGUCCCAUCAAAUUGCUGCUAGGAAGGAGAGACAGAUGGAAACAUUAAGGGCUGCUCUGGGGAUAGCAAUGGCUGAACCUGGUGAGAUAACUGCUGAUGGAAAUGAUGAUGGACCAUUGAACAGUCGAAAGAGUGGUUCAAAUGAUGAUAGCAAAUGGAUCGAGAGACGCGAACAUUCCUUUCUGGAUAGAGAUUUUAGCAGGAAAAAACAUACAACUGAAGAUAUAAAGGUCGAGAAGGAUGACAAGAGAAAGAAGAAGAAAGAAAGAGAUGUAGCUGAUGACUUAAAGCACCACAAGAAGAGGGAAAGUAGGAGUAGAAGGAAUCAGGAUGAUUCUUCUGAUACUGAAACUGACUCCGAUUCUGAUUAUGGUAAGAAGAAUCAAACUUCAAAAAAUCACAAGAAAAGCAGAAGACCUGACAGUUACAGCGAUGGUUCUGCUAGUGAUGAUGAUAACAAUUUUGACAACAGGAGGAAGAAGAAGAAGAAUAGAACAGAAAAAUCCACGAAAAGCAGAAGACAUGACAGUGACAGUGAGGAUUCUGCUAGCUAUCAUGACACUGAUUCUGACAAUGGGAGGAACUCGAAGAAGAAUAGAGCAGAAAAAUCCAUGAAAAGCAGAAGACAUGGAAGUGAUAGUGAGGAUUCUGCUAGCUAUGAUGACACUGAUUCUGGCAUUGGGAGCAAGAAGAAGAACAAAACUGCUGAGAGAUCCACUAAAAUCAGAGGGCAUGCUGGUGAUAGUAAUGAUUCUGCUAGCGAUGAUGGUACUGAUUCUGAUGAUGGGAAAAGGAAGAAGAAAACAUUCACGAAAAGUAAAAGAUAUGACAGUGAUAGCAGUGAUUCUGAUGAUGGGAAGGUGAAGAAGAAGAGAUCCUUAGAGAGACCCACUAAAAGUAGAAGACAUGACAGAGAUAGCACCGACUCUGAUGAUGAGAAGGUGAAGAAGAAGAGAUCCUUGGAGAGACCUACUAAAACUAGAAGACAUGGCAGCGAUAGUGAUGAUUCUGCUAGUGAUGAUAGCACUGAUUCUGAUAAUGGGAAGAAGAAGAAGGGAACUUUAGAGAAGUAUGAUAGAAGUAGAAGACGCAGCAAUAGCACAGAUGACUCUGCAACUGAUGAUGAUGUUGAUGUUGGCAAGGUUAUCUCCAAACAGGAAGCUGAAAAACACAAGAAAACUCGUGGGAGGCAUUCUGGUGAUUCUAAGUUUGAGUUAAACUCAUCUAAGGAUAGAACCCAGGAGGUGAAGCAGCAUUUGAAAAGGCGACAUGAUUCUGGGGAUGACUCUGAUAUGGAUGGUGAGGUGGGAAGGAAUAGAAGUCCAUUUGGGAAGCAUAGAAAUCAGCAGCAGGGAAGUAGCAAGACAGCCAGAUAUGAUUACAAUUUUGAAGACCGUUGGAAGAGUGAUGAUUUACAUGUGAAAAGUAGCAGAAUCCAGAUCAGGGAUGCUGAACCACAGCAUGAAAGGAGAAGAAAUGAUCAGGAUUAUGAAGGGCAUGGUGGGGAGAGAAGGCACACUAGGGAUGAAGCAGAUCGCAAAAGAGGGAGGUACCAAAGAGACGAAGAGAAGGAUGAGUAUGGGAAGAGUGGAAAGGAUGAUGAUAAUCAAUGGCAUGGAAGUCAAAGGCGAGCAAGAGGGGAGGAAGAAGAGCGAGGAAGUCGAGGUCAGGAUGGGUGGGAUUAUGAAGAUCAUGGAAGGGAGAAGAGGCACCGUGGGGAUGAAGAGGAAUGUAAAGAGAAUAAGUAUCAGAGAGAUGAAGAGCAUGAUGACAAGUAUGGAAGGCAUAGAAAGGUUGAUGAAGACCAUAGGAAUGGCAGUCGAAGGCGUGGAAGAAGUGAGGAAGAAGAGCGUGGAAAUAAAAGUCAUGAGAGGGAUGAACAGAUGGAUUACUCCAAGAAAGCAAGACACAAUGAUUCUAGAGUAAAUGAGAGGAAAAGCUAUGCUAGUGAAAAACGUGAUGGAGAUCGGGCCAGGUUCCGAGACUAAAACUGAUGUCUUUGAGCUGCAGUAUGACUGCUGUCAGACUAAGGUUUGAGUAAGAAAAUCAUGAUGACACAUUCUCAAUUGCUUCAGGACAUAAAUCAUUUGAGUAAGAAUGAAAUGAGAAUCUGACUGGCAAGUGAUGAUAUAGGUUUCCUUUGUUUGGACUAGUAUUAGACAUUAUUGAUGUGACAUUCUUUGGCUUAGGCUUAGGACAAUGUACGGAACUGAUUGUUAUUUUUUACUACUACAAGACGCCAGUUUGAGAGGAAGGGCUAGUGUUUCUGCUUUAUGCAAAGUUUUCCGCAAUAUACAUGGUAGCUACUUUGUUAGUGUUAUUGGAUGAUUGUCUAUGGAGUUCCUUUUUGCUCGAGUGAAGCUGAAUGAAUUCUUUCAGUGUGGUGGUAGAGCUCUGCUUUACGCAAUUCUUCUUUUGCUAAUGAAAUGAAAUGAUAUCAUGGAAAGUUGGCUAAACAGUGCCAGGAUUUAUGACUCGGGAAGGUGGACUAUCUGCUGAAUUUGUUGGAAAAUUUAUUCAACAAGGAGUACUAUCAUCUUGGCUGCUGUAUAGUGCGUUCCAUCUGUGCAUGUGCAAUUUGCUACUUGUUUCAGUUGUUAUGGGGAGUGUAUCAAAGAUAUGGAGUUAGAACAAAGUAACCUUUAUCUUGAUUUACAUGUGGCUGAUAUAUAGCUCUCCUGGUAGAACAUGUGUUAUCCUGCCCACUGGGAGGAUUGCGAAUAUUGUAUUUUGCCUUUUUGUGAUACUAUGUUGUUUUAGUUCCUACUCAAUGAGAUGGCUUGUUAGUAGGGGAUGAUCUAAAGAUAAUAAUUUUAUUUUGUCCCUUCUGGUUUUAUAAGCA